rnacentral:misc_RNA from 1 species
GUCUUUACCCACACAACUUCAGCCUCAACUUCACUAAAAACCAAUGAAGAAAUCAAAGCAGCCACGGAAUACCUAUAAACACGAGCAUAAUAAACGCUAUCCGCUUCUCCACACCGGCAAAAACGUCCAUCAGCAAUCACGAAUACCCCCAGUACAUAUUAAAAAAAUAGCAGAAAAACGUAGACUAAGAAGGAUAUGGCAGACCCAUAGAACACCGGAGGACAAGCUGGCGAGAUAUUUGUGAAAACGGUCAUUAUUGUAGUUCUUUAUGGUUUUGGAUAGUUUUCUAGUUGCGUUGUUUAGUUUGCAUUUGUCCUCCGGUGU